GAGGAGAAGCGGUCUAUAUUUCUCCUACGGCAGCAUUUAUCAGACUGUGAUGUGAUUGCUUGUGUAAUUCUCUCUCUCCUCACUAUAUAUACUCCAGGAUUUACAUUUUAAGUUUCUACUUUCUGUGUAAACUUCAUCUCAAAUUUGACUUUCCCAGCAAUCUAACAUUUAUCAACAGCUCACUGAAAGCUCUGACAUCGUAAAAAGACCCACUGGCUCGUCCAUGUGGGAGAGCGUCUCUGAGGCUUCUCCGUGGAGCAUAUGAAGAUGUUUGGCACUGUCUGAGGUCAUAUGACUGGGACCUCAUGUUGACACAGUGCCCGUGCAGAUCCUCCAGGAUAAUCUCUCUGUUUUAAGGUGAGGACACAGCAGGAAGGCAGCCAUCCACAAGUCCAAAACAGAGCCCUCAAGAACCCGGCCAUGCUGACACCCUGAUCUUGGACUUCUCAGCCCCUAAAACUUG